rnacentral:rRNA from 1 species
AGAGUUUGAUCCUGGCUCAGGAUGAACGCUAGCGGCAGGCUUAAUACAUGCAAGUCGAGGGGCAGCAGGGGUGUAGCAAUACACUCGCUGGCGACCGGCAAACGGGUGCGGAACACGUACGCAACCUACCCAAAACUGGGGAAUAGCCCGGGGAAACCCGGAUUAAUACCUCGUAACAUAAUGAAGUGGCAUCACUUUAUUAUUAUAGCUCCGGCGGUUUUGGAUGGGCGUGCGCCUGAUUAGGUAGUUGGCGGGGUAACGGCCCACCAAGCCUUCGAUCAGUAACUGGUGUGAGAGCACGACCAGUCACACGGGCACUGAGACACGGGCCCGACUCCUACGGGAGGCAGCAGUAAGGAAUAUUGGUCAAUGGACGCAAGUCUGAACCAGCCAUGCCGCGUGAAGGAUGAAGGUCCUCUGGAUUGUAAACUUCUUUUAUAGGGGAAGAAACCUCUUGAUUCUUCGAGAGUUGACGGUACCCUAGGAAUAAGCACCGGCUAACUCCGUGCCAGCAGCCGCGGUAAUACGGAGGGUGCAAGCGUUAUCCGGAUUCACUGGGUUUAAAGGGUGCGUAGGAGGGCAGGUAAGUCAGUGGUGAAAUCUCCGAGCUUAACUCGGAAACUGCCGUUGAUACUAUCUGUCUUGAAUACCGUGGAGGUGAGCGGAAUAUGUCAUGUAGCGGUGAAAUGCUUAGAUAUGACAUAGAACACCAAUUGCGAAGGCAGCUCGCUACACGAAUAUUGACUCUGAGGCACGAAAGCGUGGGGAUCAAACAGGAUUAGAUACCCUGGUAGUCCACGCCCUAAACGAUGGAUACUCGACAUACGCGAUACACAGUGUGUGUCUGAGCGAAAGCAUUAAGUAUCCCACCUGGGAAGUACGACCGCAAGGUUGAAACUCAAAGGAAUUGACGG